GACAGAGGUCCCGAGCGUUAUGCGGAAUCACUGGGCUUAAAGCGUGUGUAGGCGGAUGCCUAAGUACCUUGUGAAAUCCCACGGCUCACCCGUGGAACUGCUUGGUAUACUGGGUGUCUUGAGCCACUUAGGGGCUACCGGAACAAAUGGUGGAGCGGUGAAAUGCGUAGAUAUCAUUUGGAACGCCAAUGGUGAAAACAGGUUGCUGGGAGUAUGCUGACGCUGAGACACGAAAGCCAGGGGAGCGAACGGG
rnacentral:rRNA from 1 species